rnacentral:rRNA from 1 species
CCUACGGGAGGCAGCAGUGAGGAAUAUUGGUCAAUGGUCGGGAGACUGAACCAGCCAAGCCGCGUGAGGGAUGAAGGUACAGAGUAUCGUAAACCUCUUUUGUCAGGGAACAAAGGCGGGGACGUGUCCCCGGAUGAGUGUACCUGAAGAAACAGCAUCGGCUAACUCCGUGCCAGCAGCCGCGGUAAUACGGAGGAUGCGAGCGUUAUCCGGAUUUAUUGGGUUUAAAGGGUGCGCAGGCGGUCUGUUAAGUCAGCGGGAAAAGCCCGGGGCACAACCCCGGCCCGCCGUUGAAACUGGCAGUCUCGAGUUGGAGAGAAGUAUGCGGAAUGCGCGGUGUAGCGGUGAAAUGCAUAGAUAUCGCGCAGAACUCCGAUUGCGAAGGCAGCAUGCCGGCUCCACACUGACGCUGAGGCACGAAAGCGUGGGUAUCGAACAGGAUUAGAUACCCUUGUAGUC